rnacentral:rRNA from 1 species
GACAGAGGGUGCGAGCGUUGUUCGGAAUUACUGGGCGUAAAGCGCGCGCAGGCGGAUCCUGCAAGUCGGAAGUGAAAUGUGGCUGCUCAACGGCCACGCUGCUUCCGAUACUGCGGAUCUGGGGACCGGUAGAGGCUGGUGGAAUUGCAGGUGUAGCGGUGGAAUGCGUAGAGAUCUGCAAGAACACCCGUGGUGAAGGCGGCCAGCUGGGCCGGUACUGACGCUGAGGUGCGAAAGCGUGGGGAGCAAACAGG